rnacentral:rRNA from 1 species
AUGCACGCUGGCGGCGUGCCUAAUACCUGCAAGUCGAGCGAACAGACGAGGAGCUUGCUCCUCUGACGUUAGCGGCGGACGGGUGAGUAACACGUGGAUAACCUACAUAUAAGACUGGGAUAACUUCGGGAAACCGGAGCUAAUACCGGAUAAUAUAUUGAACCGCAUGGUUCAAUAGUGAAAGACGGUUUUGCUGUCACUUAUAGAUGGAUCCGCGCCGCAUUAGCUAGUUGGUAAGGUAACGGCUUACCAAGGCAACGAUGCGUAGCCGACCUGAGAGGGUGAUCGGCCACACUGGAACUGAGACACGGUCCAGACUCCUACGGGAGGCAGCAGUAGGGAAUCUUCCGCAAUGGGCGAAAGCUUGACGGAGCAACGCCGCGUGAGUGAUGAAGGUCUUCGGAUCGUAAAACUCUGUUAUUAGGGAAGAACAAAUGUGUAAGUAACUAUGCACGUCUUGACGGUACCUAAUCAGAAAGCCACGGCUAACUACGUG